rnacentral:rRNA from 1 species
UACGUAGGGUGCAAGCGGUAAUCGGAAUUACUGGGCGUAAAGCGUGCGCAGGCGGUUUUGUAAGACAGGCGUGAAAUCCCCGGGCUUAACCUGGGAAUGGCGCUUGUGACUGCAAAGCUGGAGUGCGGCAGAGGGGGAUGGAAUUCCGCGUGUAGCAGUGAAAUGCGUAGAUAUGCGGAGGAACACCGAUGGCGAAGGCAAUCCCCUGGGCCUGCACUGACGCUCAUGCACGAAAGCGUGGGGAGCAAACAGG